UACGUAGGGUGCGAGCGUUGUCCGGAAUUAUUGGGCGUAAAGAGCUCGUAGGUGGUUUGUCGCGUUGUUCGUGAAAACUCACAGCUUAACUGUGGGCGUGCGGGCGAUACGGGCAGACUAGAGUACUGCAGGGGAGACUGGAAUUCCUGGUGUAGCGGUGGAAUGCGCAGAUAUCAGGAGGAACACCGGUGGCGAAGGCGGGUCUCUGGGCAGUAACUGACGCUGAGAAGCGAAAGCAUGGGGAGCGAACAGG
rnacentral:rRNA from 1 species